AUGGGUUAGCCGAACCUGAUGGAGCCAGAUUCUGCCAAUGAGGCCUUGCCUGCUCCUUGACAGAGAAUGGGGUUAACAUUCCUCAGCCAGGACGUGGAUAAUGCAUGGUGACAUAAGCCAACUUGGCAAUACAGGGGGAAGCCUUUGGAAGCGUUAUCUCUUCUUUUUGAUGGUGUAGUGCCCUGGAAUCAGAUUGUUUGGUGGUAGGGAUUGUUGAUGAGCAGAGCACCUUGUUUGCUGAGGUAUCUCAGUGUGCUUCCAGUGGUCCAUGAAAAGCCUGAGGAAGGACUUAUUCACCCCCCUGGUCGUGCCCACAACCGCAUCAGGUCUCCCAGGUUAGCUGCCUCUGGUCUGUGGAAUGAACUGGGUGAGGGAAGUCGGCAAAUUGGAUCUGGAACUUUGGGAAAAGGAUUGGCUCUGAGGGGUGGGUGUGGGGAUCCUUGUGUUGAUGCUUGAACC
rnacentral:rRNA from 1 species